rnacentral:rRNA from 1 species
GUUUGAUCAUGGCUCAGAUUGAACGCUGGCGGCAGGCCUAACACAUGCAAGUCGAGCGGUAGAGAGAAGCUUGCUUCUCUUGAGAGCGGCGGACGGGUGAGUAAUGCCUAGGAAUCUGCCUGGUAGUGGGGGAUAACGUUCGGAAACGGACGCUAAUACCGCAUACGUCCUACGGGAGAAAGCAGGGGACCUUCGGGCCUUGCGCUAUCAGAUGAGCCUAGGUCGGAUUAGCUAGUUGGUGAGGUAAUGGCUCACCAAGGCGACGAUCCGUAACUGGUCUGAGAGGAUGAUCAGUCACACUGGAACUGAGACACGGUCCAGACUCCUACGGGAGGCAGCAGUGGGGAAUAUUGGACAAUGGGCGAAAGCCUGAUCCAGCCAUGCCGCGUGUGUUAAGAAGGUCUUCGGAUUGUUAAGCACUUUAAGUUGGGAGGAAGGGCAGUUACCUAAUACGUGAUUGUUUUGACGUUACCGACAGAAUAAGCACCGGCUAACUCUGUUCCAGCAGCCGCGGUUAUACAGAGGGUUCCAGCGUUUAUCCGGAAUUACUGGGCGUUAAACGCGCGUUAGUUGUUUGUUUAAUUUGGAU